GGCCCUAUGGUGGAGAACACACCGGGAUGCAAGCUCGGAGACGCACCAGGAGGGUGCUAGGGUUU
rnacentral:tRNA from 1 species